rnacentral:rRNA from 1 species
GUCCACGCUGUAAACGAUGAAGACUAGAUGUUGUUCAGCUUGACUGAUUAGUAUCGAAGCUAACGCGAUAAGUCUUCCGCCUGGGGAGUACGGCCGCAAGGUUAAAACUCAAAGGAAUUGACGGGGGCCCGCACAAGCGGUGGAGCAUGUGGUUUAAUUCGAUGCAACGCGAAGAACCUUACCUACCCUUGACAUCCUAGGGACACUGUAGAGAUACGGGAGUGCCGAAAGGAACCUAGAGACAGGUGCUGCAUGGCUGUCGU